GACGAACCGUGCGAACGUUGUUCGGAAUCACUGGGCUUAAAGGGCGCGUAGGCGGGCUGACAAGUCUGGGGUGAAAUCCCACGGCUCAACCGUGGAACUGCCUUAGAUACUGUCGGCCUCGAGGAAGGUAGGGGCAUGCGGAACUGUAGGUGGAGCGGUGAAAUGCGUUAAUAUCUACAGGAACUCCGGUGGCGAAAGCGGCGUGCUGGACCUUUUCUGACGCUGAGGCGCGAAAGCUAGGGGAGCAAACGGG
rnacentral:rRNA from 1 species